rnacentral:rRNA from 1 species
CGGGAGAAUUGCUAGCUUGCUAAUAAUUCUCUAGUGGCGCACGGGUGAGUAACACGUGAGUAACCUGCCCCCAAGAGUGGGAUAGCCCCGGGAAACUGGGAUUAAUACCGCAUAAAAUCGCAAGAUUAAAGCAGCAAUGCGCUUGGGGAUGGGCUCGCGUCCUAUUAGUUAGUUGGUGAGGUAACGGCUCACCAAGGCGAUGACGGGUAGCCGGUCUGAGAGGAUGUCCGGCCACACUGGAACUGAGACACGGUCCAGACACCUACGGGUGGCAGCAGUCGAGAAUCAUUCACAAUGGGGGAAACCCUGAUGGUGCGACGCCGCGUGGGGGAAUGAAGGUCUUCGGAUUGUAAACCCCUGUCAUGUGGGAGCAAAUUAAAAAGAUAGUACCACAAGAGGAAGAGACGGCUAACUCUGUGCCAGCAGCCGCGGUAAUACAGAGGUCUCAAGCGUUGUUCGGAAUCACUGGGCGUAAAGCGUGCGUAGGCGGUUUCGUAAGUCGUGUGUGAAAGGCGGGGGCUCAACCCCCGGACUGCACAUGAUACUGCGAGACUAGAGUAAUGGAGGGGGAACCGGAAUUCUCGGUGUAGCAGUGAAAUGCGUAGAUAUCGGGAGGAACACUCGUGGCGAAGGCGGGUUCCUGGACAUUAACUGACGCUGAGGCACGAAGGCCAGGGGAGCGAAAGGGAUUAGAUACCCCUGUAGUCCUGGCAGUAAACGGUGCACGCUUGGUGUGCGG